UACAGAGGGUGCGAGCGUUAAUCGGAAUUACUGGGCGUAAAGCGUGCGUAGACGGUUAUGUAAGUCGGGUGUGAAAGCCCCGGGCUCAACCUGGGAAUUGCAUUCGAGACUGCGUAGCUAGGGUGCGGAAGAGGGAAGCGGAAUUUCCGGUGUAGCGGUGAAAUGCGUAGAUAUUGGGAGGAACACCGAUGGCGUAGGCAGAUAACUGGCUCAUUCCUGACACUAAGGCACGAAAGCGUGGGGAGCAAACGGG
rnacentral:rRNA from 1 species